CGGACAAACGUAAUUCUCCCUGUGUCAUUUUUAUAAUCUAUAAAUUAUAAUUCAAGUGAAGAUACUUGAAUCAACUUGAAAGACAAGAAGACCCUAUAGAGUUUUAGUAGACACCCCCCCUCUCUCUCCCACUCUACUUUGGUUGGGGCGACCUAGGAUUAAUAAAAACAUCCUUUUUUUAAAAGAGUUUAUACCUCAUAUUAAAGACCCUGAAUUUCAGAUUCUUAAAAUUAACUACCUUAGGGAUAACAGGCUCAUCUUCCUAAAGAGUCCAAAUUGACAGGAAGGUCUGGCACCUCGAUGU
rnacentral:rRNA from 1 species